GAUCCGGUAGCUCAGCGGUUAGAGCGCUGGCAUAUACCGCCAAAGGGCCUUGGUUCAAUCCCAAAGCUGGGUCA
rfam:Sphaerobolus stellatus SS14 unplaced genomic scaffold SPHSTscaffold_6, whole genome shotgun sequence.